GGGCGGUUUUAUUAUAUUGUCAAGACGCGCCCCUCCUAACAAAACAACCUCCUUCCCCCACCAUAUACCUCCAGUUGCCUUCCCUCAACUGCCUCCGUUUGCAGCCACAACUUCAGUCUUGACUCACUAGCAGCGCCCCCGUCAGGCCCGGUCCGCUCCGCUGAAACCCGCUCUUUCCCGAGGCCACCAGCCAUCCAGAGGCCCCCAAGUGCGCUGGGUCUCAGGCCCAGCGCAGUAGUUGAUGCAGCUGGUCACCGCCCCCUCGUGAAACACCUUCUGCAUUUGGCACCAUAUGUACCAUGGCCCUCGUGUCGGCUGAUUCCCGAAUCGCAGAACUUCUCACCGAGCUCCAUCAGCUGAUCAAACAAACGCAGGAAGAGCGUUCGAGGAGUGAGCACAACUUAGUGAACAUCCAGAAGACCCAUGAGCGGAUGCAGACAGAGAACAAGAUCUCUCCCUAUUACCGGACAAAGCUGCGGGGCCUCUAUACAACCGCCAAAGCCGACGCAGAGGCCGAGUGCAACAUCCUCCGGAAAGCCCUCGAUAAGAUUGCGGAAAUCAAGUCUCUGUUGGAAGAGAGGCGGAUCGCGGCCAAGAUCGCGGGCCUGUACAAUGACUCGGAGCCCCCGCGGAAGACCAUGCGCAGGGGGGUGCUGAUGACCCUGCUGCAGCAGUCGGCCAUGACCCUGCCGCUGUGGAUCGGGAAGCCUGGUGACAAGCCGCCCCCACUCUGCGGGGCCAUUCCGGCCUCUGGGGACUACGUGGCCAAACCUGGAGACAAGGUGGCUGCCCGGGUCAAGGCCGUGGAUGGGGAUGAGCAGUGGAUCCUGGCCGAGGUGGUCAGUUACAGCCAUGCCACCAACAAGUAUGAGGUCGAUGACAUUGAUGAAGAAGGCAAAGAGAGACACACCCUGAGCCGGCGGCGCAUCAUCCCACUGCCCCAGUGGAAGGCCAACCCUGAGACGGACCCCGAAGCCUUAUUCCAGAAGGAGCAGCUCGUGCUGGCCCUGUAUCCCCAGACCACCUGCUUCUACCGUGCCCUGAUCCACACCCCCCCACAACGGCCCCAGGAUGACUAUUCGGUCCUGUUUGAAGACACUUCCUAUGCAGAUGGUUACUCCCCUCCCCUCAAUGUGGCCCAGAGGCCUGUGAGCACCAAGGCCCUGCAAAGUCUCACUGUCACUGGCCAUCUGACCCACCAGAGCAUGAGGCUGAGGACUUCCCCCGUUUAAGGGCCUGUGGGAGCAGAGCCAGGGGCAAGUGUGUCUUGAGGAGCCGUGGGGCUGGUGUAUCUUUCAGAACCUCCAUGCCUAAGCCAUGGAUAGGAAAGGUCCAGUGAGCUGGAGCCCGGGUCCUCCCUCCCUCCACCUCACUGGCCUCCAGCACCUCACCACACACCUGUGGGACACCCUGGACCCUUGAACUCAAGGAAGGGCACCCGGGUUAAGAUGGGAGCCCUCUGACACUUCUCCAAGUCGCCGUCCUGGUAGAUCAUGUCCAGAAUCUCACUCACCCAGGUGGUGCCUGGAGAGGAAAAUGGGAGGUAAGGAAACAGGCUGAGCAACUUGCCUACACUCAGAGCCAGUGAGUGCUGGGCUGGAUUCCGGCCGGAUCUAACACAGUGGGGCCACAACUCUGGAGGCAUCUUGGAUUUACCCGCAGAACUUUUAAAAAUCCCAAUGCCUGCCCAGCUAGAGUGGCUCACUGGUUGAGCAUCUACCCAUGAACCAGGAGGUCAAGGUUCCAUUCCCCGUCAAGCUGCCCCGCCUCAGGCUCACCGAACCCUUGGCUGUGCUGGCCCAGCACACGUGGCGCCCAAUGCGGGGCCUGAGUUCGGGGAAACUACAGUUGUCAGGUGAAAGGACGCUCCAGUGAAGCAUGUGCAGAAAACAAGAAGGAAAGUAAGGAGCGAAGUUUAGUCAUAACUAGGUGUCAAACAUGGGAAAUUCAGGAUCACAGGAAAAGGAUUUAUACGUAUCCAUGCUUAAGGUUAUGCUCCAAGCACGGGGCUGUUCUGUGAGGUAUCAACAGCUUUUCGAUUUGUUGGAUUUUCUAAGUAAAACCUGCCCAUGGUUUCCUGAGGAAGGAAAGGUAAAUGUAGAGAAAUGGGAGAAGGCAGGAAAACAACUCAGAGAUCGUUAUAUAGUUGAAGGUUCCGGGAAAAUUCCUCUUUCUACUUUCAGUCUGUGGUCCCUGAUUCAGGACUACCUAGAGCCCACUCCUGAAAGGGAAUGGAUGAAUGUGGCAGGGGAACUAAGACAGAGAGUGGAAGGUUACCAGAGGCUUAAUGUUGUCGCAAAGGCUUGUCUCUCACCUGGAGACUACUUACUGUGGAAGUAUUAUAUUCAUGUCUGUGCUGACAUUGGACCCGCCUACGUUCAAGGAGCUGCCUCAAGGAGACGUUACUCACUGGUCAGCAGAAAAGGAAAGGGGGAUGCUUUAACUGUGGUAAACUAGGGCAUUUUGCUAAAAACUGUAAUGCUAGAAAUGGAAGUCAACAGGCUACAGGGAGUGAAAACAGGCAGCCUGGACUAUGUCCAAGAUGCAGGAGAGGAAAGCAUUGGGCAAAUGAAUGCCGCUCCAAGGCUGAUGUUGAUGAUAACUCAAUCACCCCCUAGGCAGGGAAACUUCAAGCAGGGCCAGCCCCGGCCCCACCAAACAGUAGGGGUCUUAUCCUUAACCCCACUGCAGCCUUUCCAGCUGGCUCAGUAAACUGUUAUCGUGCCACCCCGGGAAGCACAGGAUUGGCAAGUUCUUCCUGGGGUGAUAGAUCAGGACUCAGGCAAUAGCAGAAAGAGUCAAUCCUACUCUUAAAAUGCAACUAUAAAAACAAAAAAAGGGGGAGAAGAAUGUUAUGUGUUAAAUUUUUUUAAUUACAAUGCAGAGUUGUACAGUGGCCAAAAGGCAUCGGGCCUCCUGUACAAUAGUCUCUGCUGAGUUAGCCCGGUGGAAGGUUACACAAACCAGACAAGAGUUUUACCAGAUCUAGUAAUGCUGUGGGGAAGAGGUUGUGUUUUGUAUCUUCCAGAAGGAGCAGUGCAGCCAAUCUGGAUACCAGAGCAUUACAUGCGUCACCACAAUGGACCCAGAGAAGGUCCUUGUCCAAUCGUUCAAAAGACUGAGAGUUGCCCCGAUGACAGCAAUACAGAAAAGGAAGAUGACGAAGACUAUGCAAGGGAUCGAGAUGCCAACAUGGGGUCAGCUGAAGAAGUUAAGGACUGAGGCCCAGCAGAUGGUAGAAAAGCAAGAAGUGGAAGCUACUCCCUUAACCAUGUUUCUGGCUAUGAUGGCAUUCAUUAGCUCCCAGUCUUGCACAGCCAAGUCCAAGGACUCUGAGUAAAUCAACAAAAGAAACUUUCAUUUAGUAGAAAAA